rnacentral:lncRNA from 1 species
GUGAUGAUGUGGAAGAUGCCUGGAGCUGAGCAUGUAACAAGAUGGACACUUGGAUUCAUGUUCUACCUUCUUUGAUUGCUGCUGUGGAGUAAUCUGGACUUGGUAGCCCUUCUGAAAUCUUGAAAUAUGGAAUGAAAUACAACUUUUGCAGCUUCCUUAUACAAUUUUCUCUUUAAGAUAUAUAUUUUUUUCCCCAACCAUAUCUAACUUGUUUUCUUUCCCUAUCUUAUCAACAGACAUCUAUGGACAGAAGAAAAGUCUCACAGCCCAGUUCAGAUGUAAGAGAAGCGAUCGCGUUCUUUGACUCAAUUAUUGCAGAUCUGGAUUCAGAGAGAUGCCGGAGAGCUCCAGACACAGACCUGCUGAAUGCGGAUGUUGAUUUUGCAGUGGCUACCAGCACAAGUGAACACAGUUUACAUUCAAACUGGAUCCUUCGUGCUCCUCGCAGAUACUCAGAAGAUGCUGCCCAAACAGCAAAGGCUGCAAACCAGUCACAAAAAAACAGCCAACGAAGAACCACUGGCUCUAGAAAGAGGUUGGAAAGGCAUCCCAUGUACUUGCCCAAAGCUGUGGAAGGAGCAUAUAACACAUUAAAAUUUAAGCCCAAAACACGAAAGAAAGAACACUGAAAGAACAUUCCAUCUUCAGCUGAAGACAGAGCAUUUGAAACAGGGCAUGGAAGACUUGAUGCUCUUUCUUUUUUUACUCCCAGACCAUCUUUUUCACUCUAGAAGUAACAUGUGCACUCACUGAAGAUUCCUCAUUUUGUAUACACUUCAAGCCAUGGCAAUUCCAACACUGGACUCACAUGAGGAUUUAAUUCAUCGAGUUCAUCGUGCCUAACAAUACUGCUUUGUUAUUUGGCAUUGGGGAGGAACUCCCAACUUGACCAGCCUUCUUAUAGUGCUGUUAUUGAAAGCAAUGAUUCAGAAAUUAUCUGGUGUGGUAAAUUAUCUUCUGACUCCAAUACAGCAAGACAGUGCAGCUGAUACGCUAUGAGCUUUUGCACCAGUGUUUCCUACUUCAGAG